GGCUUCGUAGCUCAGCUGGUAGAGCGCAUACUGUGUUGAGGCAAUGUGUUUCUGUUGCUGGUUCGAAUCUGGCCGAAGUCC